rnacentral:lncRNA from 1 species
ACCAGACAUUAUGCAUAAUAGCUAGUCUAGAAUGGUAAAUUUGGUCAAUAAUGCAUUCUCAUUGAAUAAUGAAGCAGUUGGCUGCAUUCAUCGUUAUUUAUGUAAUAAAUUUGGUUUUCAAGCAAUCGAAGGAGAUAAGGUCUCAUUCGUUAUAUGUCAUGCAGAUGUUGUGAAGAGGUUGAAACAAGAAAUUAAUAUUCGGAAUUAUAACAUUACACUGCUCCAUUGUUCUAUACAACCAGUUUCAAGAAAUUAAUAGGGGUGAAAGAUGAUAGUGCAAAAAUAUUGUUUUUCCUCGGGGA